UUUCUCGCACUUGUCUUUAUCUUAUUUAUUUUCCCGCACUCGCUCUACUUUGUUUAUUUCUCGCACUCGCUUUAAAUUAUUUAUUUCCUAGCACUCGCUUUAAAUUAUUUAUUUCCUUGCACUCGCUUUAAAUUAUUUAUUUCCUUGCAUUCGCUUUAAAUUAUUUAUUUCCUGCAGUCGCUUUAAAUUAUUUAUUUCCCGCACUCGCACUACUUUCAUUUAUUUUCCGCACUCGCACUACUUUC
rnacentral:lncRNA from 1 species